GGAUGCGAUCAUACCAGCACUAAAGCACCGGAUCCCAUCAGAACUCCGAAGUUAAGCGUGCUUGGGCGAGAGUAGUACAAGGAUGUGUGACCUCCUGGGAAGUCCUCGUGUUGCAUUCC
rnacentral:rRNA from 1 species